UGGGGAAUAUUGGACAAUGGGCGCAAGCCUGAUCCAGCCAUGCCGCGUGAGUGAUGAAGGCCUUAGGGUUGUAAAGCUCUUUCGUCAGGGAAGAUAAUGACGGUACCUGAAGAAGAAGCCCCGGCUAACUUCGUGCCAGCAGCCGCGGUAAUACGAAGGGGGCUAGCGUUGCUCGGAAUCACUGGGCGUAAAGCGCACGUAGGCGGCUUUCUAAGUCAGGGGUGAAAUCCCGGAGCUCAACUCCGGAACUGCCUUUGAUACUGGAAAGCUUGAGUUCGGGAGAGGUGAGUGGAACUGCGAGUGUAGAGGUGAAAUUCGUAGAUAUUCGCAAGAACACCAGUGGCGAAGGCGGCUCACUGGCCCGAUACUGACGCUGAGGUGCGAAAGCGUGGGGAGCAAACAG
rnacentral:rRNA from 1 species